CCACGUGACCGCCGGUCCCGGCCGCCGCAAUGGAGUUUUCGAUGUCGAGGCAUCGUUAAUAUUCGAGUCAUGGAUUGUCAAACACGGGAAGGUGUACGAUUCCGUUGCCGAGAAGGAACGGCGUUUAACGAUUUUCAAGGACAAUCUCCGUUUCAUCACUAACCGGAACUCUGAGAAUCUCGGUUAUCGACUCGGUUUGAACCGGUUUGCUGAUCUAUCUCUACAUGAGUACAAAGAAAUUUGUCACGGGGCUGAUCCAAAACCACCUAGGAACCACGUGUUUAUGAGUAGUAGCGAUCGAUACAAGACUAGUGCUGGUGAUGUGCUUCCUAAGUCCGUUGACUGGAGAAAUGAAGGUGCCGUGACUGAAGUAAAAGAUCAAGGCCAUUGCAGUAAGUGUUGUGAUUUUAAAGAUUCGAUCGGUUUGCUAAAACUUUUUUUAUUAUAUAUAUAUAUAUAUAUAUAAAAUUAUUAAAAUAUUAAAAACAGCUGAACAACGGUGUCUCUUGUGCUAUUUAUAAGGAUUUUAUUUGUCAAGAAUAAUAAAUAUUAUUUUCCUGUUAUAUGUUACAUUUGAUUACUAUAAAACGAUUCAAUCCAUUUUAGCUAAAAAUCAUUGUUAAAACUGAUAUAUUUAUAUAAGUAUAUCACCAGUUAGGCCACACCGGAUAUGAAAACGUUAGUGUUAGUUAAAAGAAACCAAGAAUCGACAUUUACUAGUUACCAUUAACAUUUCCGAUAUUUAAUUAGUCCAAAAAGUAUAAAUCUUCAUAUGCAUGCUUCGUUCUUGUGUGAAGGGAGUUGUUGGGCGUUCUCGACUGUGGGGGCAGUAGAAGGCUUAAACAAGAUCGUGACAGGAGAGUUAGUCACUUUGUCUGAGCAAGAUUUGAUCAAUUGUAACAAAGAAAAUAAUGGUUGCGGAGGAGGUAAAGUCGAGACUGCCUAUGAAUUCAUAGUUAGCAAUGGUGGUCUUGGUACCGACAACGAUUAUCCUUACAAGGCUGUUAAUGGAGCUUGCGACGGCCGCCUCAAGGUCGGUAUAGUUACCACCAAAUACAUACUCCCUCUGUUUCAUUAUAGUUGAUUUUCUAGGUUUUUUUUCUUGUUUCAUAAUAUUUGAUUUUUUACAUCUAAUUAAUGCACAUCUUUUCUUUAAGUUGAAUGAAUCAUAUUUAUGCAUGUUGCUUUACAAAAUUUAUUAAUUAUAAGCAUUAAUUAAAAGAGAGGAGAUGAAAAGCUCAGGUUAAAGUAAAAACCAGUAAUACUAAUAAAAGUAAUGAAAUUAAUUGUAAAAAUAACCUAAUUAAACAAAAUAAACAGCAAAUAAUUGAGCAUUUAUAACUUUCUUAAUCUGUAUGCAAAUAUUCAGAAAAUCAACUAUAAUGAAACAGAGGGAGUAUAUGAUUUAUCUAGUAACAAACAAAAAGAGAAAAUCAAUUUUCAAAUCUUUAAUUUUUCAAUACUACUUGUGUAGGAAAACAUCAAGAAUGUUAUGAUUGAUGGAUAUGAAAAUUUGCCUGCAAACGACGAAUUAGCUCUCAUGAAAGCGGUUGCUCACCAGCCUGUAACUGCCGUUAUCGAUUCUAGCAGCCGAGAAUUCCAGCUUUAUGAAUCGGUAAUAAAAAAAGAUUGCUUAAAAGUUUCGUUUACACAUGUCUUUUAAAGUUUUAUAACCGGAAAUUUCAGUCUAUAUAUAAUGCAUUGAAAUUUGUUUUCCCAUUCAAAAGGGAGUUUUUGAUGGAAGGUGCGGAACAAACCUAAAUCAUGGAGUUGUUGUGGUCGGGUAUGGAACCGAGAACGGUCGUAACUAUUGGAUCGUGAGAAACUCGUGGGGCAACACUUGGGGAGAGGCUGGCUACAUGAAGAUGGCACGCAACAUUGCCAAUCCAAGAGGCUUAUGUGGAAUCGCUAUGCGAGUUUCAUACCCUCUCAAGAACUCGUUUACUACCGGCAAAAGCUCCAUGGCUUAAUUAUAUGAACUAAAUGUAUGCUAUGCAAGGGAUCGAGUGAGCCAAUAACGUAUUCGACUUUGAAGUAAAAAUAAUGUAGUCGAUUGGUUUGGCUUUGUAAUAUAUUUUCGCUGUUUGGAGUUUGUAUAAUAUUUAUGGUUAUUUCGUUUCUAAUGAUUAAGAUUUUCCGUUUUCUAUCAUAAGGUUAAAACGUUCGGUUUCGAUUUCUUGAUAUAUGGCGCGGCCGCGCGGGUCUUUAGUUCUGGCCUGGGAUACUCGUGACUCGAGUCAACAUUUAAAUACUUGCAUAUUUAUUAUUUUUUAAUCAGAAAAUAUAAUAUUUAUAUUUAAACAAAAUAAACUUUACUUGAUUACAAACUUCAAAAUGGUUACACGAGUCAGGCAAGUUGGUACGAGUCAGGCAACAGUUGUUUAAACGUGAUAAAGGUGGGUCUGAAGACACAUGCAAUGUUCAUAGUCGACUGAUGUACCGUCGUUCGUGGGUCGUUCCCCAAAACAAAGGUGGAUCUGAAGACACAUAUGGAUGCGGUUACAACUCAUAACAGUGUGCUAUAUGCUGACGCGUAGCAUUUUUUUUUUCUUUUUUUAGACGCGUAGCUUUGUUACCUAAAGAUAACAAAGGGACUUGAAGUUUAUUUAACUUUUGUGGCUAUAAAGAUCGCCAAGGCGUCUUGAUGAUGAUGGACAUAAUUUACUGAAUUCACGAAGACUGAAAUUGUGCAUGGUGCACUGAUAUGUGCUGGAAAAAAAGUCUAACAGUUUAUGCAAAUACAGUCCAUCACACCUGUAUAUGCAACUGGCCUGAUUCGCAUUACCCCACUCCAAUAAUUAACCCUCAGGCAAAGUUUGUCACGUGAAACAAGUACCCAUGCAUUCUAGACCGAUAUGCGCCCCCACACAUUUAAAUAUGUCCGAUGUUGCUGCCAAUAAAUAAUCUUUUGAAACAUUGAUAAACUCUUGUAGGAAAACAUUAAUCCCAACCUGACGACGUCGACUGAUCAUAUAUAUAUAUAUAUAUAUAUAUAAUUAUUAUAUAAACUAAAUUUUGAAUAGAAUCUCAGAUAAAUCCUCAAAACUUAUGGAAAUGUGUAAAUAUCGAGAGACAAUUUGUAUGCAAUGCCAUCAAAGUGCGCAAGAAAUUGAGAGCUCGAUCGGCGAACCAAAAUGUAUUUCAAAAAUAUGAAAAAAAUCAUACUGAUGAUCAGUGAUCAGGAUAAGAAAAUAUUUUUAAAAGUAGGAACAUCUUUAAGUCUUUUUAAUUUUGGCCAGUAGAAGCUAAAAUGUUUAUAUAGUAGUAGUGGUGGAAUAAUUUUGUUAUAUAUAUAUAUCGUCACUGUGGCUCGGGGUCGGUGUCACAAUAAUGGAUCAUGACAUUAGAACUUUAAUUAGUUUCCAACGUUAUACAUGCUUAUAACAUCUCCAUCGUUAGCUCACCUGAAAGAAAAGCACUAAGGACGAAACUUCUGAUUAUGGGAUUGAGUUAAUGGAACAUACUCUGAUCCCAAACUUGGAGAUGUAUGAGUUUCAACCCAUAACCUCUUAAGUAAUCAUAAACAUACAUCCAUGGUUGCAUAUGUAAUUUAUCUGUAUAUAUAUGAAAUCAGACAUGUAACAUAAUAUCAAACAAAUAUGAGUCCACUACACAAACAAAUGUGGGUCUACCACAUACUCAUAUCUUAUAUCAAACAAAUGCGGGUCUGACAGACUAGCUACCACAAACUAUUAUUUUUCAAAUAUUCAAAUUUUUGUCGUGGUAUGUAGAAGAUCAAUCCCAACGAGGCGAUAAUGGCAUUUGCAUGUAGGGUUGCAGGAAGAAGAGAGAUUUGCAAUAUAUAGACUUUGACAGAUACCAUUCCUUCUUCUUUCUGUUUGUCUUGUAAACAAAAUCAACCAUUUUAAUCUGAACUUUUCUUGUGUUUGAUAGAAAUGAAAAAAUAAAUACUCGUUACAGAAAAAAAAACGAUCAGAUAAGAAAACAGACAUUUUAUAUCUUUUGAUUGAUUUUUUGAUACUUUUCUCGUAGCCGCCAUAGAAAUCUUCCAUUUUUUAAGAUUCUCCUUAUAUCAUGAUUCUUUACUGACUCGACUGAACUGAGUUCGAUGGGCCUUGGCAACUCUUGACGGGCCGAAAUAACUUGAAUCAAGGCGGGAAAACCAUAGUGGGCUGAGUUGGGUCAACAUGAGCGAAACCGGACCGACAGAGAUUGAUAUACCGAAUUUAAUUGAACUGGACUUAGACCAGAUCCAUUAAAGGGUCUUCUACAAUUUUGGGCACAGAAUCAUAGGCUUUUUGGGUUUUAAAAAAAAAGAAAAAAGACCCAACUCGGAAGGAGAGGUUCAUCCCGUCGAGCCUGAAGACUCUGCAUGCGAACCACAUGGCAUAAGGCGAUUGGCUGUGGAAAACGCGUCAUUUUGGGAGAAAAAAAAACCGCAGAAAGAAAACAUUUUCUCUUUCCCCGAUUUUUUCUUCUCUCGUUCGUGUUCUUUGGCGAUUCAGGGCGAUUCCGUCGUCACCGCCUGUUCCGUCGAUUAUUCUCGGUGGAGGUGCAAUCCGAACAUCGAUCUUCCGUCCCCAUAGUCCUGGUAAGCUUCGGUUCCUCGUAGUUUUAAUUGUUGAUUUCGAUUUCGCGAUUCUAGGGUUUGCGAUUUUUGGGGAAAAAAAUCGGGUUGAAAUCAGGUGUUUUUUUGUUCGAUUUCGGUGGAUUAGAGGUUCGACGGUUGUCUUUGGUACCCCAAAUCUAGUAUUCGGUACGAAUUUAGUAGAUUUGCAAACCCUAGAUUCGUUGAAAUUAGGGUUUUCGAAAUUGUUUACAAAUUUUGGGGCUUUCAUUUGGGAUUGCAAUUGGCGUCUAAUUCGUUCAUUUAAAACCGUCAUAUCCUUACUUCGAAUACGAUUUCAUGGUUUUAAGAUUGAAAAUCUGAAUAUUGUUGCGAUGAACUAAGUUUUUUCUAUCUCGGGGGUUUAUUUGGGGCUCUGUGUUGGUAUUCAAACUGGGUCACUCUCGAUACAUUAUCAAGAUUCGUGUGUAUCUUAAAAGCCAUUUGCUUCUUAUUUGUUGUUUGCUAAAUGGUAUUUUGCUAUAUGAUUGGCUUCUUAUUUGUUGUUUGCUAUAUGGUUAUAUGAACUGGUUAAUCGCUUAUGAGUUUUUGGUUGAAAUGGUUACUCAUUUGUUGUUUGCUAUAUAUUAGUAGAUGAUAUGAUCAUAUUGCAUAAGUUCAUAUCAUAUUGUAAUCGUGUGAGUUCAUAUAGUUUUGCUGAUCAUAUUGUUUUGUGGCAGAUCAUGCCAAGCUACAGCAGCGGUUCAUCUGAAGAAGGCUCAGAGGUUCCUUAUUGGGCUUACGCCGAUGCCACUUAUGACAUACCGGCGAAGUGCUUAUGCGGCAGGGAGGUGAAGCUGAAAGAAAACGCCGCCGGUCGCAAGUAUUAUGCUUGUCCAGAAUGGAUUAAUGAGGUUAGUUAUUUAUGUAUAUUACUUUGUUUUUUUUGUUCAGUUUGUUCAUUUAACUCAUCUUUUGGACCUCCUUAACUCUUUGCUAACACUUUGUGUUGAAUGUAGGGCUCAUUCGACCACAUCCACCAAUGGUGGGAUCAUGCGGUCACAGAGCAAUGCGAAAUCCUCGCGACAAGGAUAGAAAAUCAGAGGGAGUUGAUCGUGAGUGCUGAUCGUGGUAGAAUGAACUUUGUCGAUCCGGUUAUAGGAGAAGUCCGUGGGGAACAAGCAAGACUUGAGGGAGAACUCCGUGAGGAGUUAGCAAGGCUUGAUGGAGAAGUCAGGGUUUUGAAGGAGCAAAUUGGUUCUCAAGGUGACAGUCUUUCUACCCUGUUCUUUAUGUGUGUUAUUGGACUGUUCGCAUAUAUCUUAAGGGUUUAGAACUGGGUUAGGAUUGAUUACUAAGUAGGGUAACAUUAAUUUUUUUACUUCGGCUCAAUUAAUGUACUUGUUUUAAUUCUCUUUUUAUCUUUUGUUGUGAGGAUAAUAUGGACUCAACGGAACAAGGGUUUGACUUCAUGGCAUAUGGUUCACCGAUGGCAUAUGGUCCACCGAAACAGGUUAGUUCUCCUGUAACUUAAUGGUUUAGUUGAGUAGUUUAGAUGGAACGUGGUAUAUUUGUGUUUAUUGCUUGAUAGGACAUGUUAGGUGUAGUAAUUAUAUCCACCUGUUCUCAAAAACUCUCAAAACUUGUUCGGAAACAUAAAGACACGCUUUUACUAAUAAUAAGACACUCAACCAACACUUACAAGACACAUAACCACUACCAUUAAGACACUUAAAAGACAUUCAACCAUAAAUCAAUUUACUCUCUUUUAACAAAUCCUUUACUUAUCUACUUCUAUACUGCAAACUUCCUUUUUCUCUUUUAUUCUCUUCACUCUUUCUUUCACGCUUCACUUCACUCUUUCUCUUUCGCUUCUUCUUCACUCUUUCACCUUGUUAACUAUCAUUAUUUCCUUUCUCCCUUCUUUCUUUCACACUUUCUUUCAUCGACAUGGAUUCUCAGAACUCAUUUACGCCCUCUGAAGGGUUUGUUCACCUUCUAAGUAGUCAGUUAAACCCUGAAUCGUACUCUCCGUGCAUAGACUUAGGAUCAUCAUACAUUUUGUUUAGCACACAAGGAUCUGAUGGUCCUUCUGAUAUUGCAUUGAAGAGAAAACUCUGGAGUCCGAAGGAAGACUUGCUCCUGAUUAGUUCUUGGCUCAACACCAGCAAGGAUCCCAUAGUGGGCAAUGAACAAAAAGCCGGUGCAUUCUGGAAGAGGAUCCAGAUCUAUUACAACGGAUGCGAGGAGCUUGGAGAUCUGCCAAGAAGAGAAUGGUCGCAGUGCAAGCAACGAUGGGGAAGGCUUAAUGACCACGUAUGUAAAUUUGUGGGUUCAUACGCAGCUGCACAGAAAGAAAAAAAUAGCGGUCAGAAUGAAAACGAUGUGAUGAAGCUUGCACAUGAAAUUUUUUUCAACGACUACGGCAUUAAGUUUGCCCUCGAACACGCAUGGAGAGAGCUGAGGUUCGACCAGAAAUGGUGCACGACCAGCUCACAAAAGGAUGGCGCAACAGUCAAAAAGAGAAAAGUAGAAGACUCGGCACAGUCAUCAUCGUCGAUGCCUGGAAGCGUGAAUGAAAGUGAAGUUGAGGCUCGCCCUCCUGGUGUCAAGGCUUCGAAGGCCAAUGCGAAGAAAGCAGGCGGUGUUAAGGGUGAAAACAAGGAUAUGAAAGAGUUUUCUUCCAUGUGGGAUAUGAAACAUAAGGACCUUGAAAUGAAAGACAAGAUUAGGGACAAGAGGAUUCUUGAGAGCCUCUUAGCUAAGCAUGGACCGCUAACUGAGAUUGAAAUCUCAUUGAAAAACAAGUUGAUCAGUUCUGUGUAUGGUCUUUAGGGUACAUCUAUUCAGUCGGUAUGGUUUGGACAGAACAACAAGUUAAUGGCUGUUGUUUUUUCCUUAACUCUAUUCAGUCGGUAUGGUUUGAGUGAGAUUCUUCUUUGCCUUAGAAUAUGAUCUUUCAUGUAUUAAGUUGUUGUUUUAUGUUUGGUAUGAUCUUCUAUUUCAUUUUGGUUUUUUCUUGCUUAAAGAUUGAUAUUCAUUCGGUAUGGUUUGAGUGAGAUUGUUCUUUGCCUUAGAAUAUGAUCUUUCAUGUAUUAAGUUGUUGUUUUAUGUUUGGUAUGAUCUUCUAUUUCAUUUUACUUGCUUCUGACCUGCACGUUUUUUUUUUUCAGGAAGUGUCACAGCAAGUUGGGCAGUACAACAACCCUGACACGUCCGUGACUAUAUGCUCAAAUCAAGGAGGGGCCAAUUGCUGUUGUUGUUUUCCCUUGUUACCGCAUAUUUUGUCUUGUAAUAUUGACCAUACGUUCCCAAGUAGAAUUGUAGCCACAUCUUUGAACUUCAAGCCGUCUAUUUAUAUGUCUUCUAACUAUUGUAUGUUCAUUCGUAGCAAAUUUCCUUCUUCCUCAUUUUCUCAUAUUGAUCUGCAAUCACUUCAUCUUUCCUUUUUUAAAAAAAAAGUCUCUCUCCCACACAAAAACCAAAUACGGUUUAUCAAGCACAUAACUUGGUAAACUUCUUUUAUAUUCAAAAACUCUUUCUCUCCUUAUCCCUAACCACAAAUUUCUAAAUACAAUACUAUGGCGGCAUCAUCAAGCAAUGAUCGAUUGGAUGAUGCAUAUGAUGAUGCAGUAGAUGAUGCAUUUGAUGAGAAGUUGGAAGCCAUGUUCAAUUCGCUUGUCAAACAAAAUGAAGAAAAAAUGAAAAAGAAAAAAAGAGCGUACAUUGAAAGAGAGCGUGAAAAAGGCCACUUGCGGUUAUGGAAUGAUUAUUUCAGUGAUGAUGCAACUUAUCCGCCACAUAUUUUCCGACGACGAUUUAGAAUGACCAAAGAUUUGUUCAUGCGUAUUGUCAACCGACAUGCCAAUGAGGUUCCGUACUUCCAGCAAAGAAGAAAUGCCACCGGAAGAUUAGGGCUAUCUCCUCUACAAAAAUGCACGGCAGCAAUCCGUAUGAUGGCAUAUGGUACCGCAGCGGAUGCAGUUGACGAAUAUCUCCGGCUCGGUGCUAGUACGGCAUUGUUAUGCUUGGAACAUUUCACUGAGGGUAUAAUAUCCUUGUUCGGAAAUGAGUAUCUAAGAAGACCCACAGCUGAUGAUCUUCAACGGUUACUGAACAUUGGAGAGGAACGGAGCUUUCCCGGAAUGAUAGGAAACAUCGAUUGUAUGUAUUGGGAGUGGAAGAAUUGUCCAACUGCAUGGAAAGGACAAUAUACACGCGGGUCAGGAAAACCGACAAUCGUUUUAGAGGCAGUUGCAUCACAAGAUCUUUGGAUAUGGCACGCAUUUUUUGGACCUCCAGGUAGAUUAAAUGAUAUUAACGUUCUUGAUCGUUCACCAGUUUUUGAUGACAUCUUGCAUGGUCGGGCUCCAAAAGUGAGAUAUUCGGUAAACGGUAACGAGUACCGUUUGCCAUACUAUCUCACAGACGAAAUUUAUCCUAAAUGGGCAACAUUUAUACAAUCAAUUCAUCUUCCUCAAGGAGAGAAAAACAAAUUAUUCGCAACAACUCAAGAAUCCGUCCGGAAAGAUGUGGAGCGGGCUUUUGGCGUUCUUCAAGCCAGAUUUGCAAUAAUAAAAAAUCCGGCUCUUUUUUGGGAUAAAGAAAAAAUUGGCAAGAUUAUGCGGGCCUCUAUCAUAUUACACAAUAUGAUAGUAGAAAACGAACGACUUGUCUACAUUCGAUACAAUUUAGAAGACUUCCAUCAAGAUGAAGGAAGCAGAAAUUCGCCUGUUGAUAUAAGCGUAUUCUACCCGUAUGCCUACAAAUGUCUUAAAUUUGAUGAUGACAAAACGAAACGAAGUCCGUGACAACCAGAUACAUGAACGAUUAAAAGAGGAUUUAAUAGAAAAUAUUUGGAAUAAAUUUGGUUAACUUUUUUAAAAUUUUAAAAUAUUGUAUGUUUCUAAUUUUCUUGUAUUAAAUUUUACUCUUAUAUAUUGUAUGUUCUAAAAUAAAAUAAUGUGUAAUAAAUUGUAUUUCUUUUAUUAUAAUAAAUGUGUGUUUUUUGUUUUAAAAAAAUAUUCUAAACUUCAAAAAAAAAUAUUUUUUUUCCGGGAUGAACCUCAAAAUGGAAUUCACUACUGGAACCUCCAUUUUCACCCGAGUUCUUCCCAAACCACCCAACAAAAAAAUAUUGUUUUUUAAUGCUCAUAAACCCCUCUAUGGAGUUUACUAGUGGACAUGCUCUUAGUUUGAGACGUGCUCUUUGCAGGGUGCAUAGCUCACCUCCAACAAUACUUACAAUGCGUAGCACACUUCCAACAAUACUUGCAACAGUAGGUUUUCCCACAGAUUAAAAAAAAAAAAAAAAAAAGCAAAUUCUGAGUACUAUAAAAACGUGUCAUUUGUAAGCCAAAAUAACACAACACAAAAACCUCCUCUCUUCUUUUUAUUUUUUUUUAACUUAUAAAAAAUACAAAAACAAAUCAAAGUUUCAUUAGUGCUGCUCCGAAAAGAAAAUGGGUAGUGCUAAAUCAGCCUUGCUGAUCCUCUUACUAGUAAUGGUCAUCGCAUCUUGUGCCAGGGCCAUAGACAUGUCCGUCGUUACAUACGAUGAUAACCACCACGUGACCGCCGGUCCUGGCCACCAUCAAACCGCCGGUCCCGGCCGCCGCAACGGAGUUUUCGAUGUCGAGGCAUCGUUAAUAUUCGAGCCAUGGAUUGUCAAACAUGGGAAGGUGUACGACUCCGUUGCUGAGAAGGAACGGCGUUUAACGAUUUUCAAGGACAACCUCCGUUUCAUCACUAACCGUAACGCUGAGAAUCUCGGUUAUCGACUCGGUUUGAACCGGUUUGCUGAUCUAUCUCUACAUGAGUACAAAGAAGUUUGUCACGGGGCUGAUCCAAAACCACCUAGGAACCACGUGUUUAUGAGUAGUAGCGAUCGAUACAAAACUAGUGCUGGUGAUGUGCUUCCUAAGUCCAUUGACUGGAGAAAUGAAGGUGCCGUGACUGAAGUAAAAGAUCAAGGCCAUUGCAGUAAGUAUUGUGAUUUUAAAGAUUCGAUCGGUUUGCUAAAACUUUUUUUAUAUAUAAUUAUUAAAAUAUUAAAAACAGCUGAAAAGUAAAAUGUACAACGGUGGCUCUUGUGCUAUUUAUAUGGAUUUCAUUUGUCAAGAUAAUAAAAAAAAUUCUGUCUUCUAUGUUAUAUUUGAUUACAAAAACAUACGAUUAAAUUCAUUUUUCUUGAAAAAUCAUUGUUAAAAACUGAUAGAUUUAUAAGUUAGUGUUAGUUAAAAGUUAAAACCUACAAUCGACACUUUUUUUUAAAAGGAUUCAACCUAGAAUCGACACUUACUAGUUACCAAUAACAUUUCUCGAUAUUUAAUUAGUCCAAAAGUAUACAAUCUUCAUAUGCAUGCUUCGUGCUUGUGUGAAGGGAGUUGUUGGGCGUUCUCGACUGUGGGGGCAGUAGAAGGCUUAAACAAGAUCGUGACAGGAGAGUUAGUCACUUUGUCUGAACAAGAUUUGAUCAAUUGUAACAAAGAAAAUAAUGGUUGCGGAGGAGGUAAAGUCGAGACUGCCUAUGAAUUCAUAGUUAACAAUGGUGGUCUUGGUACUGACAACGAUUAUCCUUACAAGGCUGUUAAUGGAGCUUGCGACGGCCGCCUCAAGGUCGGUAUAGUUACGGCCAAAUAUAUAAAUGAUAUAUCUAGCAACAAACAAAAAGAGAAAUCAAUUUUCAAUAUCUUUACUUUUUCAAUACUAUUUGUGUAGGAAAACAAUAAGAAGGUUAUGAUUGAUGGUUAUGAGAAUUUGCCUGCAAACGACGAAUUUGCUCUCAUGAAAGCGGUUGCUCACCAGCCUGUAACUGCCGUUAUUGAUUCUAGCAGCCGAGAUUUCCA
rnacentral:lncRNA from 1 species